GGUGGGCUCCCUUGGCUGGUGUUGGCGCCGGCGUUCUCCGAAGUGUGUGCAGACGAGAGGGGCCAGCUGGAGCCCAGCAGAGCUCACCUAGGCCAGGAGCUCAGCUCCUCCAGCGUCACAGUGAGGGGAGCAUGUCCUGCACAGUCCUCUCCAUCCCUCCCACCCAGAGACCCGCCCCUGUGGUCUCCGCCCCUCUCUGCUGCCUCACCUCUGUCCAAACAUGGAAAAUCUCAAACUUCACAGCCUUUGAUUGACAGGAUCUGCCCUGCCUCUGCUGCUUAUCAAGGGGGGCCCUGGCUCCUCUCCUGCUGCUGAGCCCUGUGCUCCAGGGGCUCCCCACUCCCUGAGAGACCCCAGAGCAAGCCAGGGGACCUCCAGCCUUGGCUUAAGUGGACCGUGGGCACACGCCUGUCUUGACCAAGAACAGAAACAAGUUUUGUGGACCUGCUGCCAGGGCUCCAGGACCAAGAUGGGGGGCUCCGGGUCUGAGGUGCCAUGUGGCCCCAUACCUGUACCUGCUGCAGGAGCCCUUGGGAAGGAGGUGGGAGGUGGGACAGGUGCCUGCUGGCCAGCGCUGAUCCCCUGGGGAGGACGGUUGUGCCUGGGGGCAUCCUGGCUCAAGUCUAUCACACCUACUGCUUUUUAAAACCUCCCACAUGCUGAUCCUUAAACAAGUAUGAUAAACUGGGAAGCACCCACCCACUGGGAAGUUGGGUGUGUCUUGAAGCCACACAGACGUGCCAGGAGUGGUUGGGCUGCGAAGGCUGUCAUCGCCAGGCCUGCUCUCCCCAGGAGGACCCUGCCUGGGCCUGGCGCCCAGAGCCAGCAGCCACAGUCCCAGUGAAGACUGGAAUUGCAACUGCUCCUUGGCCAGCCCAGCAGCUACAUCUACAAAAGGGUAUUUGCUGGCUUUCUGUUCUUAUAACGGUGACAUUUCUAUAGGACGGGGCCAGCAGAUGCGUUGGCUUCCCAGUUUGGGCCAAAUUGUGAUUAAAUUCAUUUUCCCUUUUUA